rnacentral:rRNA from 1 species
GACGUAGGGUGCGAGCGUUGUCCGGAUUUAUUGGGCGUAAAGAGCUCGUAGGCGGCUCGUCGCGUCGACCGUGAAAACCCGCGGCUUAACUGUGGGUCUGCGGUGGAUACGGGCUGGCUAGAGGUAGGUAGGGGGAAGCGGAAUUCCUGGUGUAGCGGUGAAAUGCGCAGAUAUCAGGAGGAACACCGGUGGCGAAGGCGGCUUGCUGGGCCUUACCUGACGCUGAGGAGCGAAAGCGUGGGGAGCGAACAGG